GGAGCAAUAGGUGGAGUGUCCGGCUGUUAACCGGAAGGUCGCCAGUUCGAGUCUGGCCGGAGCCG
rnacentral:tRNA from 1 species